CCUGGUGACCAUACGGACGGGGAAACGCCUGAUCCCAUUCCGAACUCAGAAGCUAAGCCCGCCCGGCCGAUGAUAGUCCUUAUGGGUGAAAGUAGGUGAUCGCCAGGU
rnacentral:rRNA from 1 species